rnacentral:misc_RNA from 1 species
GUGAAUCAUCGAAUCUUUGAACGCAAAUUGCGCUUCCUAGCAUCCCGGGAAGUAUGCCUGUUUGAGGGUCAGUAUUAACAACAAAAUCGGUUAGGUUGCACAUUGUGACGAUUCCGGCGUUUGGGCGAGCUUAACUUUUUUGGUUAAGGGGCUUAAAAUUGACCUUUUUUGCGCAUUUUUAGACGUACGUUAAUUUUUUUUUUCUUCGUGUAUUCUUUAUGCCAUAAUUUUAUUAGAUCCGAU